UACGUAGGGUGCGAGCGUUAAUCGGAAUUACUGGGCGUAAAGCGUGCGCAGGCGGUUCGUUGUGUCGGUGGUGAAAGCCCCGGGCUUAACCUGGGAAUGGCCAUGGAAACUAGCGAACUGGAGUGUGGCAGAGGGGGGUGGAAUUCCGCGUGUAGCAGUGAAAUGCGUAGAGAUGCGGAGGAACACCGAUGGCGAAGGCAGCCCCCUGGGCUAGCACUGACGCUCAGGCACGAAAGCGUGGGGAGCAAACAGG
rnacentral:rRNA from 1 species